GGCACAGUGGCUUAGUGGUUAGCAUGUUUGCCUCAUGUCUCCGGGGUUGGGGAUUCGAAUCCCGCCUCUGCCC